GGGUGAUGUUUAUUGGGCCAGGACCCUAUGCAGCCCCUGGGGAAUGUGGUUGUUGCUGCCCCGAAUGCCACAGGGGGAAAGAAGCCUCCCUUUCUACAAGCUUUCUACAAUAAAUAGAUAAAGCAGCGUGUUUUGGACUGGUGUGGGGAGAGCUGCUGGCCUGAGAUGGCUGUAAAGCUAAAGCACAUGGCUGGAAGGGCUGGGUACCAAGAGACCACCCGGCUGCAGGAUGCUCUGCCAGCCCUCCUCACCCCUGCUCUCUUGGCAGCUUUUUUUCCUCAAUAAAACAAGACUUGUGCAAUGUGUGUCUGUAUUUUCUGCUACUUUUGAGCCUACUCGAUGAUUUUUGGAGGUGGCUGAGCUCCAGGAUGCCCUUGGGCACUGGGAGUGUGGGAUAUCAGUGGAGCUUGUGGGAUCUCUGCAUGAGAGCUCUGCAGGCUGAAGCCUGGAAACAACAAACCCUGAUCCCACAGAGGGGAUCGCUGCUCACAACUAGGGAAAAACGCUUAUUUUAAGGCAGGAUCCUCCUGCACAACCCUUCUACCACCUGUUCUGCCCAGCCCUCAGCAUGCCUGAGCCCUCCCUGCUCCACAUUCAGGGUGGCCAGGCUGGGUGCUCAGAGACGUGCUGGAGCAGCUCAGGGCUGGGUACAGCUGUGACCCAUCCGAAACGCACCGAGGCUGCUGAGAGGCAUUUCCCCGGCUCGGCCAGGCUCUGGAGCAGUGCUCAUCUCUCUGCUGCACUUGAGCACAAUGCGAUGUGGCUGGGCAGCGUGUGGCCCCCAGCACCAGCCGGGGCUGGGUGAGGUGGCGCUCCCGGCCGUGCCGGGGAAAUGGGGAGGGAAGCGGGUCCCGGGGGCUGAGCCGGCCUCAGCUCACGCCCGGGAGAGGCGGACGGGGUAGGUGACCAUGUUGAAGCUGUCCCAGGCGAAGAGCCGCCGCUCGGCAGGGUUGUAGUCCAGCAUGCUGAGGUAGCGGAAGCGGUUCUCGAAGGGGAUGCCGAGGGCCCGGCUGGUGCCCGUGGCAGUGUCGUAGGCAAAGUUGAUGGUGGCGUUGGGCGCCG
rnacentral:lncRNA from 1 species